rnacentral:tRNA from 36 species
GCCCGGAUGGCGAAAUUGGUAGACGCAAGGGACUUAAAAUCCCUCGGUGGCAACACCGUGCCGGUUCGAGCCCGGCUCCGGGCACCA